GUUAUUAAUCACUUUGGCGUAGCAGGGAACUAAUUCCACUUAGAGAGUUUGAGUGAGUUCUCGCUCCGUGGGAACGAAAUAAUUUUUAGUAAACUGGAUUUAGUUCCUAUGCUAGAAGGAAUACCGGCGAUUUUAGAUUUCCAUUUUACAGAAGAGCUGCAACACAAAAUGACACUUACAUAAACAUCCAACUUUUAAAUAGGCUUUUUUAGUAAUUCAAAAACAAAGCGAAGUUUAAAUAAAUUUAAAUUUGUAUUAAAACCUAUUAUACAAAAUAAUAUCGUAUAGUUUUUAUUGCUUAUAUUUUAUGUACAAAAUGUUAUUAAGAGUUUUUUAAACUAAGAAAUAAAAUUUAAAAAUGUCUAACAGUA